GACGAACGCUGGCGGCGUGCCUAAUACAUGCAAGUAGAACGCUGAAGGAGGAGCUUGCUUCUCUGGAUGAGUUGCGAACGGGUGAGUAACGCGUAGGUAACCUGCCUGGUAGCGGGGGAUAACUAUUGGAAACGAUAGCUAAUACCGCAUGAAAUGGAUUAUCGCAUGAUAAUCGAUUGAAAGGUGCAAAUGCAUCACUACCAGAUGGACCUGCGUUGUAUUAGCUAGUUGGUGAGGUAACGGCUCACCAAGGCAACGAUACAUAGCCGACCUGAGAGGGUGAUCGGCCACACUGGGACUGAGACACGGCCCAGACUCCUACGGGAGGCAGCAGUAGGGAAUCUUCGGCAAUGGACGGAAGUCUGACCGAGCAACGCCGCGUGAGUGAAGAAGGUUUUCGGAUCGUAAAGCUCUGUUGUAAGAGAAGAACGAGUG
rnacentral:rRNA from 1 species